rnacentral:rRNA from 1 species
AUUGAACGCUGGCGGCAUGCCUUACACAUGCAAGUCGAACGGCAGCACGGACUUCGGUCUGGUGGCGAGUGGCGAACGGGUGAGUAAUGUAUCGGAACGUACCCUUCAGUGGGGGAUAACUAUCCGAAAGGAUAGCUAAUACCGCAUAUUCUCUGAGGAGGAAAGCGGGGGAUCGCAAGACCUCGCGCUGAUGGAGCGGCCGAUAUCAGAUUAGCUAGUUGGUGGGGUAAAGGCCUACCAAGGCGACGAUCUGUAGCGGGUCUGAGAGGAUGAUCCGCAGCACUGGGACUGGGACACGGCCCAGACUCCUACGGGAGGCAGCAGUGGGGAAUUUUGGACAAUGGGGGCAACCCUGAUCCAGCCAUGCCGAGUGAGUGAAGAAGGCCUUCGGGUUGUAAGGCUCUUUCGGCCGGGAAGAAAUCGCGUGAGUUAAUACCUUGCGUGGAUGACGGUACCGGAAUAAGAAGCACCGGCUAACUACGUGCCAGCCGCCGCAGUAAGAC